CAAAAUUCAAUUUGGACACGCACAUAAACUUGUUACACUACACUAAUUUUUGACUUUGAAAUUACUGUUCCAGCUUUUAUUUCUAUUAAUAAUUUAUUCAAAUACGCUAAACUUGUCAAAAAUGUUUUCAAAAAAAGUAUGAACAACUGUUCCAACUACAAACACAAUAAAUUCGGAGGGAAAUAUUAAAAAAACUGGCAACAAACUAUCAUAAUGUUGAGCGUUGUCAAUGUGCCCAUCGAGACCGUAUUCGAAGUGUUCAAGAAAAUCUCCAGUAUUCCAAAAAGAUGAUAUAUUUACAGACAGUUCUGAUUAUUUUAGCAAUAUUAGGUUUGCUCACGAUGGGUAUAAUUAUGGGGACUUAUGCUUGGAUUUGGUCUAUCAAAUUCUCGUGGAACACACCCCUGUGUAAAUUUAUUACCAUUUUUGUUUGAAGAUGAUUGUCAAGUGGGUUUUUGAAAGUCUCGUCUAUGAAAAAUAAAAAUACAUAUAUUUUUUAA